GACGAACGCUGGCGGCGUGCCUAAUACAUGCAAGUAGAACGCUGAAGGAGGAGCUUGCUCUUCUGGAUGAGUUGCGAACGGGUGAGUAACGCGUAGGUAACCUGCCUUGUAGCGGGGGAUAACUAUUGGAAACGAUAGCUAAUACCGCAUAAGAGUAGAUGUUGCAUGACAUUUACUUAAAAGUUGCAAUUGCAUCACUACCAGAUGGACCUGCGUUGUAUUAGCUAGUUGGUGGGGUAACGGCUUACCAAGGCGACGAUACAUAGCCGACCUGAGAGGGUGAUCGGCCACACUGGGACUGAGACACGGCCCAGACGCCUACGGGAGGCAGCAGGAGGGAAUCUUCGGCAAUGGACGGAAGUCUGACCGAGCAACGCCGCGUGAGUGAAGAAGGUUGUCGGAUCGUAAAGCUCUGUUGUAAGAGAAGAACGAGUGUGAGAGUGGAAAGUUCACACUGUGACGGUAUCUGACCAGAAAGGGACGGCUAACUACGUG
rnacentral:rRNA from 1 species